GUGCUCGCUUCGGCAGCACGUAUACUAAAAUUGGAAUGAUACAGAGAAGAUUGGCAUGGCCCUUGCACAAGGAUGACACACAAAUUUGUGAAAUGUUCAAUAUUUUU
rnacentral:snRNA from 1 species